CUACGGGGCGCUCCAGUGAGGAAUAUUGCACAAUGGGGGGAACCCUGAUGCAGCAACGCCGCGUGGAGGAUGACGCAUUUCGGUGUGUAAACUCCUUUUAUAUGUCAAGAAAAUGACGGUAGCAUAUGAAUAAGCACCGGCUAACUCCGUGCCAGCAGCCGCGGUAUACGGGAGGGUGCAAGCGUUACUCGGAAUCACUGGGCGUAAAGGACGCGUAGGCGGGUUGGAAAGUCAGGUGUGAAAUCCUACAGCUUAACUGUAGAACUGCACUUGAAACUUCUAAUCUAGAGUAUGGGAGGGGGAGAUGGAAUUAGUGGUGUAGGGGUAAAAUCCGUAGAUAUCACUAGGAAUACCUAAAGCGAAGGCGAUCUCCUGGAACAUUACUGACGCUAAGGCGUGAAAGCGUGGGGAGCAAACAGGAUUAGAUACCCCUGUAGUC
rnacentral:rRNA from 1 species